AUUGAACGCUGGCGGCAGGCCUAACACAUGCAAGUCGAACGAGUGGCGGACGGGUGAGUAAUGUCUGGGAAACUGCCUGAUGGAGGGGGAUAACUACUGGAAACGGUAGCUAAUACCGCAUACCCUCAGAUGUGCCCAGAUGGGAUUAGCUAGUUGGUGGGGUAACGGCUCACCAAGGCGACGCUCCCUAGCUGGUCUGAGAGGAUGACCAGCCAAACUGUAACUGGGACACGGUCCAGACUCCUAGGGGGGGCAGCAGGGGGGAAUAUUGCACAAUGGGGGCAAGCCUGAGGCAGCCAGGCCGGGUGUAUGAAGAAGGCCUUCGGGUUGUAAAGUACUUUCGGCGGGGAGGCGUUACCCGCAGAAGAAGCACCGGCUAACUCCGUGCCAGCGGCGGCGUAAUUC
rnacentral:rRNA from 1 species